GUUCACUGUAGACCUGCUGACUCAGCUGCCACCAUGUUCCUGAUGGACGUUUGAUUUUACUUCCUGCAGCAGGAUAAAGGUUCAAGAAGAUGGAAUGGACAUUAGACCAGUGGAAGAUGAACUAAUGAUGCCGGCAUGUGUGGUUCCUACUGUGGAGCAUGGAGUAGGAGACACUCAACGAAAUAGGGAUCCAGGAAACGUGACUUGAGACGUCCUGUGCUCGAGUCACUGACUGGUUUCUGAUAAAGGGACGUGUCGCCCCAUCAGAGACUUGAGGGGAUUCACCAGCAGCAGUGUCACGGCGACUUGAAGGACGAAGCAAAACGAAGACGAGGCUGUGAUGGGGAAGUUAAUUUACUCUGAUUCUAAUGUGGUCCACACACUACAUGCCCAUAAAUGAGUGCAGUUAAUGAUAAUAAGUCAUAAUGAAUAACAUCUGACAAGAAGAAUUUCCUCUCUCAGAAACAGAAACGUCGUUGGAGAAGUUCAGCUGUAGUUUAUUCUGAGCCACAUGCUGUACACCUUCCUACUCAUUAGAAACAAAUGUGAAUUCAUCCGCCACAGAAAAUAGUCCCCAACAAAUAACCUUCUUCCUGUUUGUGUACCAUUUGAACCCCAUUAGGCCACAUUUCCCCAGGACUAGUGAGGAUUUGACCAAAAUGCGAUGCCAAAACACAGCACCAUAAAAAAAAAAACUGUAAAGCAGUAGAAAACUUUUGUGGGGAAAAUGUUUGUGCUUACACCCGUGCAAACAUCGCUACGGAUUUAAAUGUUUAAGAGCUGUUCCAAACUCUACACAAAUCAUGGAAACACAAGGGUCAGGCAAGUGUUUCUGUACGUUAGCGGUGGCUGCCCUGCAUCAUGGUAGGUGCCAUACACCGCUCAGCCAACAGGGGGCAGGAGUCGCUGGCCAUUGGUCCUGAUCAGGUCAUGUGAUUUAUCCUCUAGAAACUAAAAUAGCCACUGAAGAGGAGUGCAUCAUUUUGCUUCUGCUGAAUCGUCGCCGGUAGAAGAAGAAAAGCAUUUGCUAAAGAUGCUGGUGAACAUGAACAGCUUCACACAGCCCUCUGUUUUUUUUUUAUUUAUUUAUUUAUUUGACACUGUAAACAGCU